UAGAGUUUGAUCAUGGCUCAGGAUGAACGCUAGCGGCAGGCCUAAUACAUGCAAGUCGAACGGUGUCUUCGGACAUAGUGGCGCACGGGUGCGUAACACGUAUGCAACCUACCUUACAUUGGGGGAUAGCCUUUCGAAAGGGAGAUUAAUACCGCAUAAGACAGUAGUCUGGCAUCAGACAGCUGUUAAAGAUUUAUCGAUGUAAGCUGGGCAUGCGACCAAUUAGUUAGUUGGCGAGGUAAUGGCUCACCAAGACUAUGAUUGGUAGGGGAACUGAGAGGUCAAUCCCCCACACUGGCACUGAGAUACGGGCCAGACUCCUACGGGAGGCAGCAGUAGGGAAUAUUGGGCAAUGGACGCAAGUCUGACCCAGCCAUGCCGCGUGCAGGAAGAAGGCGUUAUGCGUUGUAAACUGCUUUUAUACAGGAAGAAACGACUCUUGCGAGAGGCAUUGACGGUACUGUAUGAAUAAGCACCGGCUAACUCCGUGCCAGCAGCCGCGGUAAUACGGAGGGUGCAAGCGUUGUCCGGAUUUAUUGGGUUUAAAGGGUGCGCAGGUGGUUUAUUAAGUCAGUGGUGAAAGACGGUCGCUCAACGAUUGCAGUGCCAUUGAAACUGGUAGACUUGAGUAAAGUAGAGGUGGGCGGAAUUGAUAGUGUAGCGGUGAAAUGCAUAGAUAUUAUCAAGAACUCCAAUUGCGUAGGCAGCUCACUUGGCUUUUACUGACACUCAUGCACGAAAGUGUGGGUAUCAAACAGGAUUAGAUACCCUGGUAGUCCACACUGUAAACGAUGAUAACUAGGUGUCGGCCGAA
rnacentral:rRNA from 1 species